ACACCCAGUGCCGGCUCCGGGCGCGCACACAUGCAGCACCUCCGCCCCUGCGCCGGCUCGGCUCUGGCCACAGCAGCGAGGACAGAGGGGCCCCGGGCGCGGCGGACUCGCGGGCGCACGCUCCCAGGAGCGCGCCGAGAGGGGCGCCGCGGCGCAGGAAACUUGGGCGAAGUUAGUUGCAAGUGCCAGGCGGCUGCCGAGAAGAGCGAGGCGGGGACGCGGCCGGUGCCAGGCCUGCGGCGCCGCGUGGAGGCUGCGCUGCCCUCCGCGGCCGGCGAGCUCCGGGAGCCCUAAGUCGGCAGGCGCGCCUGAAGGGGCUCGGAGCGAACAGAGCCGGCAUGGCCCAGGGGACGGCCGGACGCGGCUCCUCGGCGAGCCGGGAGAACUUCCUCUGAGGCCGGGCGACCAACGCUUGCUCAAGCCUCAUCCACCCUCCUUCCUCGCCCCACCCGUCAGUCCAGCAGCGGGAGAGGAAGACUCGAGAGGCAGGUGCUGCGGGGGACAGCUCCCCCCUCCAAAAAAAAAAAAUCACCCAGCCGAUUGGGGGUUUCCCAUCGGCGCACCCUGCCCGGAGCCAAG